GUACACUCCUGCGGGAGGCAGCAGUGGGGAAUUUUGGACAAUGGGCGAAAGCCUGAUCCAGCAAUGCCGCGUGAGUGAAGAAGGCCUUCGGGUUGUAAAGCUCUUUUGUCAGGGAAGAAACGGUGAAAGCUAAUAUCUUUUGCUAAUGACGGUACCUGAAGAAUAAGCACCGGCUAACUACGUGCCAGCAGCCGCGGUAAUACGUAGGGUGCAAGCGUUAAUCGGAAUUACUGGGCGUAAAGCGUGCGCAGGCGGUUUUGUAAGUCUGAUGUGAAAUCCCCGGGCUCAACCUGGGAAUUGCAUUGGAGACUGCAAGGCUAGAAUCUGGCAGAGGGGGGUAGAAUUCCACGUGUAGCAGUGAAAUGCGUAGAUAUGUGGAGGAACACCGAUGGCGAAGGCAGCCCCCUGGGUCAAGAUUGACGCUCAUGCACGAAAGCGUGGGGAGCAAACAGGAUUAGAUACCCUGGUAGUCCCA
rnacentral:rRNA from 1 species